rnacentral:rRNA from 2 species
AACGACUCUCGGCAACGGAUAUCUCGGCUCUUGCAUCGAUGAAGAACGUAGCGAAAUGCGAUACUUGGUGUGAAUUGCAGAAUCCCGUGAACCAUCGAGUCUUUGAACGCAAGUUGCGCCCGAAGUCUUCAGACCGAGGGCACGCCUGCCUGGGCGUC